GGGGCCGAAAUGGAUUCGACCGGACAGGAUACGCUUGUCGUUGCGCGUCGUGGAGCAUCCGUGCCACGUAAAAAGGAUGCACAUUAAUAAUUGCUGACACUCAGUUAGCACUCGCCGCUUAAUUGCGGUGACGAUCAUCAGCCCGACGCCCGAUGAGGCUGGUGAUCGAAGACAUCGGGCUGGUUCCAAAGGGCUGACAGGCCCCGGCGGAACGAGACAACCGUCUGUCAUGGCGAAGUGAAACGCCGUCGUUCGCGGUUCGCCGAGCCGAGAUCAAAUGAGCGACUACACGUGUAGACGCGGCCUGCUGACUGUUCCGGCACGGGGGUUCGAUUCCCCCCGGCUCCAUUG
rnacentral:tmRNA from 1 species